rnacentral:misc_RNA from 1 species
AUGGAUACUUUUGAAGGAAUCAGGUGUUUCUGACAGGUGUGCCUGGCCUUCAUGUAGUCAGCGCAAUCAAAACAAGUUAUCGUGAACUAUUUUUGUUGUUUCUUGAUUCUGGAUUUUCCUGUUCUUAUCUUGUUACUUCAUCAAGUUCCUUCAAAAUGAUGACCAAAUUAUUUAAGUUUCUGUCCCACAGAACAAAAUUUGAGAUGAUUAGAAGAGGAUUGAUUAUUCCUCCUGGAGCCUGUGAGACACCAACCAAAACUGUCACAGACUUACUUGAUGACUUCACUCGAAGCGUGUUAGGCACCAAUAGUAAGUACUGUGCAGGGAGCAUAAGCCGAGAGCACCUUGUGAAAUACUUACCGGCUACUCAAGAAGAGCUUCCAGUACGGAGAAUGAGUGACAGCUAUGAUACUGCCAUCAUCCCCUUGGGAAGUGAUAUCUCCAUGCGUGAAAAGUACAUGACGUUUCACAAGACAAUCCGCAUCGGACGGUUGCUAGAAGACCUUGACGUUUUUGCGGUGACGCUGUGUUACAAGCACAUUCUCAACCCAAACCAACCCGCCGACAUAUCCGUCAGCCCAUACAGCAUUGUAACAGCUUGCGUGGAUCAAAUGGAUAUAUCCCACGUUCCUCUUCGGUACGAUGCCGAUAUUCGUUUGAGAGGCCACGUCACAUGGGUAGGCAAGUCGUCGUUCGAGGCUUCCAUGGAAGUUGAUCAAAUAGAUAAAGACUCGAACGAAUGGAAUACUGUCACAAACGCCAGGUUCGUCAUGGUCAGUCGGGAUUCAAUGAAUAAGGGAUCGGCCAUCGUGAAUAAGUUGGUUGCUGAAACGGACGAGGAAAAGGCGUUAUUUAGAAAAGGAGAAGAAAACAAGGAAAGACGAGCUAAAAUGCAAACGACAUCCUUGUUCCGGAAGCCUCCAAGUGAGCAAGAAAGAUUGAUCAUUCACGAACAGUUUCUCCGCACGAUCGAUUGGAAAAGCAUGUCCUUCAAGAGCCGGAUCAAACCCACCAAUUGCGUCUGGAUGGCGGAUGCUAAACUAAAGAAUAUGAUUCUCUGUCAGCCAGAGAAUCGUAAUCGGUUCAACAAAAUUUUCGGCGGUUUCCUGAUGCGACUGGCCGUGGAAUUGGCGUGGGCAAAUGGCUACGUCUACUGUAAGAGCUUGCCUACUUUGGUCCACGUUGAUGACAUCCUCUUCCGUAAACCGGUGGAGAUAGGCUCACUCUUGUACUUUAGUUCCCAGGUGGUCUACACUCAAGGCCAUUACGUGAUGGUGCGGGUGUCGGCCGAAGUUGUUCAGCCAGAGGACGGAACACACGACCUGACUAACGUAUUUCAUUUCACUCUGAAGACAGACAGUCUGGCACCUGAAGUCAUUCCGCGAACCUAUCAAGAGGCCAUGAUGUUCCUCGACGGAAGACGACACUUUAUAGACACGGAGCACGACUUAUCCGAUCCACCGGAAGCCAAACUCUAAUCCGCACAUCGAAAAUUAGGAAAAGCAAAAUCACAAAUUAUCCUCUUUCAUCCGGCCCAUUUUCAAAUUUCUGACCUGCAGCAGUAACCGGAAAUAUGGAAGCUGCCAACCGAGUAAGAUCUAGUUUGAUCGUUACGACGAGUUUUAAGAGCAUUGCUUGAAUAGGCUUUUUUUGGUGCAGUAGUAAAUAGUAGUGGAAGUCCAAGAGAGAAAGAGCCCUGGAUGGACUCUGUCUUUUACUUGUUCGGUAUUUGACCCGGGCUCCGAGUAUGGUCGACCACCCGCCGCAGAGACUUCCUUUUCUUCUUCUUCUCCAGAUAGAUAUUCAUACAUAAAUACGUUUCUGUUGUGUGGCUCUUGCUUGAGAAUGUUGGUCCCUUUUUUGGUUUGAAAACUAUUUAUAAAUUACCUGUCGAUAAAACAAAA